UCUUAUGGAAGAGCAAAAAAAGUGGUUUCUUGAGAUGGAAACUACUUCUGGUAAAGAUGCUAUGAA
rnacentral:pre_miRNA from 1 species